rnacentral:snRNA from 1 species
CAACUUCCCUGGUGCCGGGUCCUCGUUGAUCUCCGAGUACGAGCCCCCAGGGCGGGGCACGGGCAUUGCACUGCUGUCGCGUUGACCCCUACCACUUUCCCAAACUGGGGCAUAUGGGGCAUGCAAAUUGAUGAAAUCCGGU